UAAGCUUCAGAUUUUGAAAUGUAUCAUAAGUGGACCAGUUGUAGGGCAGCACUCCGUUUGGCAGAUAUUUAGUUAUCAACACGUAUUCACGUACAUUUGUUAUCUGCCAAAGGAGAGUUGCCCUAUAAUUGUUUCUGCUUAAUUUUUUAUAUGAGAAACAAAAGAAUCAUGUGCCUCUUCUUUACGUACAUUUGGGGAUUCCUUAAUUUUCUUUAGUUGUUUAGCUAUAUAUCAUACGAUGAGAAUCUGUGAUGUCCAUGACGGAGAGCGGGCUGAUGAGGGCGGGUCAAGCAGGACUGACAGGCUUCUCGGCUAGAAAGUUUCUGAAGAAGAGAUGCACAUGUUACUUUAAGCAAAUCUCACAUCAGAAUGUGAGAGAAAGUUAAAGAGCUUUAUAAGAUAUGACACAAGUUCACAUGGUACAUUCACAUUUGGAGUUCAAGGUAACGUACCCCGAAGGAAAAAUCCGCGCAAGCCUAGGCCCAAAGCGGAUAAUAUGUGCCAUGGGCUUGAAUGGUGACAAAAUCUUUCAUAAUUUCAGAAGCUAUGCAGUUCGGUUAUUGAGCUUGAAAGUAAUUUUGGCAUGUUAGGUGCCUAGCUGGAAAUCAUUUUGCAAACUACAAAUAUUAAUAAUUCGCAGACAAGUUUGUGUGAAUAACCUAAACCUAAAGUAGUCACACGUUUGUAAUAAAAUGAGUUGGUUCGUCCUGUGGA